rnacentral:lncRNA from 1 species
UAAGCUCCUAGAGCAGGCCAUAUCAUUUGAGGUUGAGGGGCCACUAUACUGCCAUGGUUCCAGAUAAUAGGAACUCUUGCCAUACUUCUUGGCAUUUCUACCAUCUGACCAUUUUGUUCAGACCACCUGAACAUAGUGUGGCCAUGGCACAUGGACUGAGAGGUGCAAUUUAAGCUAAACAUCCCCUUAGGGGACCAAUCAAUAAUGAAUCCAUAGGAAUCGUUGUGCAGCACCUCUGCCUGUUCUGCAAUGCAAUCUUCCUAAACAAGUAUGUUCAUUAUUUCUGGCCAGGUUCUAUUUUGUUAACAAAUAGGUUUUUGAGGGUGGUAUGCCUCAAUUAUAGGAGCAGAUUUAUUAUGGUAAAUACUGGGAUCAGAAAGCAUGUGCAACUAUGCCAUACAGUGGUUAUAUCCAGGCAUUAUUGCCAGCCAAGAUUGAUAAAUAUGCCCAAUAAGUAUAAUUGUUCCUGUGUCAGCCCUUGUUGAAGGAAUACUCAUGGCAAUGGUGAUCACCACUAUCAUAGCUACCAUUAAAUUACUCAUUGUGACUGGUUGUCCCGCUUAACUCAGGUUUUCUUCCACCAUCUGUGACAGCUUCUUGAUCUGUCCCUAGGUGGGUGGCUGUGUUCGAUGAGUGUUGCUCGUGACAGUUGAGGUCCUUCUCAGCAUCAGCCUAAACAUGGCUGCAACCGGGGGUUCCUCGGGAUCCUGGGGAUCCUUCUGGAGUCUCUUCCUUGGCAUCUGUUUCAUGAUAAGCUUUCAGGUGUCUUGAUGGUAUCCAAAUUGGCUGUUGCUUUUGGCCUGGAGAAACACAGGCAUAACCUCUACCCCAAGUUAUUAUUUUACCUAUUUCCCAACUUUCUGUUAUUGGAUCUCUCACCAAACCAGCUGUUCUGCCUUUGUCUUUGCAGCUGGUUUCUGUAGAUGCUGUUCAGCUGCUGAUAAUAUCUGGCAUUUGGGCAGGCUCAAAAAAUUUAAAUCACGUGCAGAGACACACAUAGGCUCAAAAUAAAGGGAUGGAGGAAGAUCUACCAAGCAAAUGGAAAACAAAAAAAAAGCAGGGGUUGCAAUCCUAGUCUCUGAUAAACAGACUUUAUACCAACAAAGAUUGAAAGAGACAAAGAAGGCCAUCACAUAUUGAUAAAGGGAUCAAUUCAACAAGAAGAGCUAACUAUCCUAGAUAUAUAUGCACCCAGUACAAGAGCACCCAGAUUCAUAAAGCAAGUCCUUAG